rnacentral:misc_RNA from 1 species
CUCUCUUUCUUUCUUUCUUCUUAGCUCGGCGAUUUGACGAGACUCAUCAUAAAAGACAGCUACACCCUGUAAGUAAAAUCAAAAUUCUGCAAAUUAACCGUGGAAAAUCCAAAUCAAAAAGAUAAAAACAGAGAAAGAAGAAGCAGCCCCCGUUGCAGAUUUUGCAAUCCCAUUACCACAUUUUCCCCUGCACAAUUGUCGAAGAACUCCCCAAUUUUAUUUUUUAUUGUGAUAUUUUCUCUGCAGCAGUGCACACGCCAAAAGGUACACGAUCGGCGUCCUCGAAGCCGGCCCAAAAUUUAUCCCAGCUAUAGCUUAGUAAUUUCCAGUCCAGCCUCAAGAAAAUCAAGAAAAAAUUUUGGAUUUUUCCUGCUGCAAAAAUUUGAGAUUUCAGAAAAUAAUAAAUAGGGACUUUGGAAUUUUACUCUUUUUCCUGCCUAUGCUAUCUAUUGAAUCAUUCGAUUUGUGCAGGAAUUUCCAUCAUUCCUUUCUCUGCCAUUUCCCAUCAUCAUCAUUAUUGACAAACAGGAUUUUCCCGAUUUUCAUUUAAUACCCUCUCUCUUUCCUGUCUGCCCUUUCGUCCUCUUUAUAUGCCUCUCCCUCCUCUUCCCCCAGGCUCCAACCG